CUAGAUCCAUAUUAGAAAGAAGCUCCAACAUCCCCUCAUGGCAAUCAUCAGCAAGAGUACUGGCGUUGUGUGCCUCAUAGCCCUAGUGCUCAUGGCCACCGUUCUCUUCUCAAGUGCCAGCAACCUUGGAUGCGACAAAGGUCCAGUUCCGGAGGAAAAGUGUGAUGAGCUAUGUUGUAAAUUAUGCGGUAAUUCCGCCCCUUGCCACUUAGAAGAUGAUGGGAAGUUUUACUGUUGUUGCGAACCAGUACGCCAAGGUGGAUCCAUGAGGCCUCAGGAAGUUGCUGAAAUGAUACAAACAUAGAGUCAUGGAUCUCCAGAACCAUGUCGAAUAAAUGUGCUAGCUCUUGAUGUUGAUGUAGUUAAACAAAUAAUGAAUUUCCUUAUCAAUC